AUGGGGUCCGAGACAACUGAACAGAGAAAUGACACCUUGCUGGGAAAUGGAGUUAUCGGCAUUCUCGCCGAGACUGUCAACAUGUGGGAGAGGAGGGCGCCGUUAACUCCUUCCCACUGUGCUCGCCUCAUGCUCGGGGGAGGCAAGCAUGAAUCCGGCGUGAACCGGAUCAUCGUGCAGCCGAGCACCAAGAGGAUCCACCAUGAUGCUCAGUACGAGGAUGCUGGGUGCGAGAUUUCAGAGGAUCUGUCAGAGUGUGGCCUCAUCGUAGGCAUCAAGCAACCAAAGCUGGAGAUGAUUCUUCCUGAUAGAGCAUAUGCGUUCUUCUCGCACACCCACAAGGCCCAGAAAGAAAAUAUGCCACUGUUAGACAAGAUCAUGGAAGAAAGAGUGUCCUUGUUUGAUUAUGAGCUAAUUGUCGACGAUGAUGGGAAAAGAAUGCUGGCAUUUGGGAAAUUUGCUGGCAGAGCUGGACUGAUAGACUUCUUACACGGUCUCGGGCAGAGAUAUCUGAGCCUUGGAUACUCGACUCCGUUUCUGUCUCUGGGGCAAUCCCAUAUGUAUCCUUCGCUCGCUGCAGCGAAGGCUGCAGUCAUCGCCAUUGGCGAAGAGAUAGCAACAUAUGGACUUCCAUCUGGAAUUUGUCCAAUUGUAUUUGCAUUCACCGGAUCAGGAAAUGUUUCGCAGGGUGCACAAGAGAUAUUCAAGCUAUUGCCACAUACCUUCGUUGAUGCUGAGAAACUUCCCGAGCUCUCUGCGGGAAAGAGUCUGCCUCCACAUCAUCAAUCAACCAGGAGAGCAUUUCAACUAUAUGGAUGUGUUGUCACAUCUAAAGACAUGGUCGCACCCAAAGAUCCCAACAGAUGUUUUGACAAAGCUGACUAUUAUGCUCAUCCGGAAUACUACCGCCCUGUUUUUCAUGAAAGAAUUGCUCCAUAUGCAUCUGCCAUUGUUAACUGUAUGUACUGGGAGAGGAGGUUUCCACGACUAUUGAGCAUUGAUCAGUUACAACAGCUGAUGAAGAAUGGGUGCCCUUUGGUUGGCAUUUCUGAUAUAACUUGUGACAUUGGAGGUUCCAUAGAAUUUGUGAACAAAAGUACAUCAAUAGAGAGGCCUUUCUUCCGGUAUGAUACUUCGACUAAUUUAUACCAUGAUGAUAUGGAAGGCGAUGGCGUGAUCUGCUUAGCUGUUGACAUUCUGCCUACAGAGUUUUCCAGAGAGGCCUCCCAGCAUUUUGGAGACAUAUUAUCUAGAUUUGUUACCAGCUUGGCCUCAGCUAAGGGACUGCUGGAGCUUCCUUCCCACUUGAGAAGAGCUUGCAUCGCAUAUGCUGGCAAACUCACUCCUCUGUAUGAGUAUAUUCCUCGGAUGAGAAAGACUAUGAUAGAAUUGCCACCAACUCCAGCGAAUUUAUUGCCUGAUAAGAAGUACACCACCCUGGUAUCUCUCUGUGGCCACCUCUUUGAUAAGUUCCUUAUAAAUGAAGCUUUGGACAUCAUUGAGACAGCUGGGGGUUCUUUUCACUUAGUUAAAUGUGAUGUUGGACAAAGCAUCGACGAUAUGUCCUAUUCGGAGCUUGAAGUAGGAGCAGAUGAUACGACUACAUUAGACAAGAUCAUCGAUUCCUUGACUUCUAUAGCUAAUGCGCACCGUGGAGAUCCUAAUGCCACCGAGAUAUCUCUAAAGAUAGGAAGAGUCAGCGAAUGCGGAAUUGAUGGCAGCAUGGAUAAAGUAGGACCAAAGGUUUUAAUCCUUGGAGCUGGAAGAGUUUGUCGGCCAGCUGCUGAGUUUCUAACAUCUUACCAAAACAUCGACCAAGUACAUGUUGUUGUGGCAUCUCUGUAUCAAAAAGAUGCAGAAGAGACAGUUGAUGGAAUAAAGAAUGCAACAGCAGCUCAGCUCGAUGUUUCAGACACUGAAAGUCUUUCGAAUCUUGUUUCACAGGUUGAUGUUGUAGUCAGCUUGCUGCCUGCUAGUUUUCAUGCUGCCAUUGCAAGAGUAUGCAUAGAGCUCAAGAAGCACUUGGUCACAGCAAGCUAUGUUGACGAUUCCAUGUCAAAGUUGGAGCAAGCUGCGCAAGGAGCAGGUGUAACUAUACUCUGUGAAAUGGGCCUUGAUCCUGGCAUAGAUCACAUGUUGUCGAUGAAAAUGAUUGAUGAAGCACAUGCUCGGGAUGGAAAGAUAAAGGCGUUUACAUCUUUCUGUGGUGGACUUCCAUCUCCAGCUGCCGCAAACAAUCCACUUGCUUAUAAGUUCAGUUGGAGUCCAGCAGGUGCCAUCCGAGCUGGAAGAAAUCCUGCUGUCUACAAAUUUCUUGGAGAGAUCAUCAAUGUGGACGGUAGUAAAUUAUACGAGUCAGCAAAGAGGCUCAGAUUACCGGAACUUCCAGCUUUUGCUCUGGAACACUUACCAAAUCGAAAUUCCUUGAUGUAUGGAGACCUGUAUGGGAUCUCCAAAGAAGCAUCUACCGUAUAUAGGUCCACUCUUCGUUACGAAGGAUUUAGUGAGAUCAUGGCUAUCCUGGCAAAAAUUGGGUUUUUUGAUGCUGAAAAUCAUCCACUGCUACAAGAAACUAAUCGUCCAACAUAUAGGAAUUUUCUCAAUGAACUCCUUAAUGUCAAUAAUAUCUCCACAUCUAACACAAAGAUAAACGGUGAAGAGUCUGGAGGACAUGAUGAUGAACUGGUUUCAAGACUCAUGAUGCUUGGGCAUUGCAAAGAAAAGGAACUAGCUGUCAAGAUACUCAAAACAAUCAAGUUCUUGGGGCUGCAUGAGGAGACACAGAUUCCUAAGGAUUGUUCAAGUGCAUUCAGUGUUAUUUGCCAACGAAUGGAACAGAGAAUGGCCUAUGGCCACAAUGAGCAGGAUAUGGUACUGCUGCACCAUGAAGUCGAGGUGGAGUACCCCGAUGGGCGACCCACCGAGAAGCACCAAGCGACGCUGAUGGAGUUCGGAAAGACUGAGAACGGCAGGUCGACCACCGCCAUGGCCCUCACCGUCGGGGUACCGGCAGCGAUAGGAGCCCUGCUCUUGCUCCAGAACAAGGUUCAGAAGAAAGGGGUGAUCCGGCCUCUGCAACCGGAGAUCUACAUCCCUGCGCUGGAGAUCUUGGAAGCGUCGGGCAUCAAGGUGAUAGAGAGAGUGGAGACCUGA
rnacentral:rRNA from 1 species